rnacentral:misc_RNA from 1 species
GAUGAAGAACGUAGUGAAAUGCGAUAAGUAAUGUGAAUUGCAGAAUUCAGUGAAUCAUCGAAUCUUUGAACGCACAUUGCGCCCGCCAGUAUUCUGGCGGGCAUGCCUGUUCGAGCGUCAUUUCAACCAUCAAGCCCCAGGCUUGUGUUGGGGACCUGCGGCUGCCGCAGGCCCUGAAAACCAGUGGCGGGCUCGCUGUCACACCGGGCGUAGUAGAUUUUAACUCGCUCAGGGCGUGCUGCGGGUUCCGGCCGUUAAAAAGCCUUUUUUACCCAAGGUUGACCUCGGAUCAGGUAGGAAGACCCGCUGAACUUAAGCAUAUCAAUAAGCGGAGGA